rnacentral:rRNA from 1 species
UUCCGGUUGAUCCCGCCGGACCUGAUUGCUAUCGGAUUGAUACUAAGCCAUGCGAGUCUUUGUAGCAAUACAAGGCAGACGGCUCAGUAACACGUAGUCAAUCUACCCUAUGGACGGGGAUAACCUCGGGAGACUGAGAAUAAUACCCGAUAGAUCAUUAUGCCUGGAAUGGUUUAUGGUUCAAAUGAUUUUUCGCCAUAGGAUGGGACUGCGGUCUAUCAGCUUGUUGGUGAGGUAACGGCCCACCAAGGCUAUAACAGAUACGGGCUCUGAGAGGAGAAGCCCGGAGAUGGGUACUGAGACACGGACCCAGGUCCUAUGGGGCGCAGCAGGCGAGGAAACUUUGCAAUGUGCGAAAGCACGACAAGGUUAACCCGAGUGUUUUCUGCUAAAGAAAUCUUUUGUCAGUCCUAAAAACACUGACGAAUAAGGGGUGGGCAAGUUCUGGUGUCAGCCGCCGCGGUAAAACCAGCACCUCAAGUGGUCAGGAGAUUAUUGGGCCUAAAGCAUCCGUAGCCUGCUCUGUAAGUUUUCGGUUAAAUCUAUAUCUCAACAUAUAGUGCUGCCGGGAAUAUUGCANAGCUAGGGAGUGGGAGAGGUAGAUUGUACGUCGGUAAGAAGGGGUAAAAUCCUUUGAUCUAUUGAUGACCACCUGUGGCGAAGCGGUCUACUAGAACACGUUACGACGGUAGAGGAUGAAAGCUGGGAGGAGCAAGCCGGAUUAGAUACCCGGGUAGUCCCAGCUGUAACUAUUCAAACUCAGUGAUGCACUGGCGUUGUGGCCA